GUCAGGCGGGGCCACCCGCCGAGUUUAAGCAUAUAAAUAAGCGGAGGAGAAGAAACUUACGAGGAUUCCCCUAGUAACGGCGAGCGAACCGGGAUCAGCCCAGCUUGAGAAUCGGGCGGCCGCGCCGUCCGAAUUGUAGUCUGGAGAAGCGUCCUCAGCGACGGACCGGGCCCAAGUCCCCUGGAAAGGGGCGCCGGGGAGGG
rnacentral:rRNA from 1 species